rnacentral:rRNA from 1 species
ACGCUCGACACCUACGGGAGCAGCAGUGGGGAAUAUUGGGCAAUGGAGGCAACUCUGACCCAGCAACGCCGCGUGAAUGAUGAAGGUCUUCGGAUUGUAAAGUUCUGUGACGGGGGACGAACACAAUGACGGUACCCCGACAGCAAGCCACGGCUAACUACGUGUCAGCAGCCGCGGUAAUCUGAGCGGGCUGGCAAGGC